UACGUAGGGGCCGAGCGUUGUCCGGAAUCAUUGGGCGUAAAGCGCGUGUAGGCGGUCCGGUAAGUCCGCUGUGAAAGUCGGGGGCUCAACCCUCGGAUGCCGGUGGAUACUGUCGGGCUUGAGUACGGAAGAGGCGAGUGGAAUUCCUGGUGUAGCGGUGAAAUGCGCAGAUAUCAGGAGGAACACCAAUUGCGAAGGCAGCUCGCUGGGACGUUACUGACGCUGAGACGCGAAAGCGUGGGGAGCAAACAGG
rnacentral:rRNA from 1 species